rnacentral:rRNA from 1 species
AUUGAACGCUGGCGGCAGGCCUAACACAUGCAAGUCGAGCGGAUGAAGGGAGCUUGCUCCUGGAUUCAGCGGCGGACGGGUGAGUAAUGCCUAGGAAUCUGCCUGGUAGUGGGGGAUAACGUCCGGAAACGGGCGCUAAUACCGCAUACGUCCUGAGGGAGAAAGUGGGGGAUCUUCGGACCUCUCGCCAUGGGAUGAGCCUAGGUCGGAUUAGCUAGUUGGUGGGGUAAAGGCCUACCAAGGCGACGAUCCGAAACUGGUCUGAGAGGAUGAUCAGUCACACUGGGAGUGAGACACGGGGGAGACUCCGACGGGAGGCAGCAGGGGGGAAUAAGGGACAAUGGGCGAAAGACUGAUGCAGCAAGGUCGCGAGAGUGAUGAAGGGGGGAGGGGGGUAAAGCUCUUUUACCCGGGAUGUUAAUGACAGUACCGGGAGAAUAAGCUCCGGCUACCUCCGU